UUUCCGUAGGUGAACCUGCGGAAGGAUCAUUACAGAGAACUUGCCCUUCGGGGUAGAUCUCCCACCCUUUGUCUACCACACUUUGUUGCUUUGGCAGGCCCGCCUUCGGGCCGCCGGCUUCGGCUGGCCAGCGCCUGCCAGGGGACCUUAAACUCUGAAUAUUUGUCGUCUGAGUACUAUACAAUAAGUUAAAACUUUCAACAACGGAUCUCUUGGUUCUG
rnacentral:misc_RNA from 1 species